rnacentral:rRNA from 1 species
AACGAACGCUGGCGGCAUGCCUAACACAUGCAAGUCGAACGAGGUUUCCGCUUCGGCGGGACCCUAGUGGCGCACGGGUGAGUAACGCGUGGGAACCUGCCCUGUGGUGCGGAAUAACUCCGGGAAACUGGAGCUAAUACCGCAUGCGUCCUGCGGGACAAAGAUUGCAUCGCCAUGGGAGGGGCCCGCGUAGGAUUAGCUUGUUGGCGGGGUAACGGCCCACCAAGGCUUCGAUCCUUAGCUGGUCUGAGAGGAUGAUCAGCCACACUGGGACUGAGACACGGCCCAGACUCCUACGGGAGGCAGCAGUGGGGAAUAUUGGACAAUGGGCGCAAGCCUGAUCCAGCAAUGCCGCGUGAGUGAUGAAGGCCUUCGGGUUGUAAAGCUCUUUCGCACGCGACGAUGAUGACGGUAGCGUGAGAAGAAGCCCCGGCUAACUUCGUG